ensembl:lncRNA
CUGAAUCCUAUUGAGCCAAACUCUGCCGGACAGCAUUUGACUCUGUUUCCUCCUGAAUCCUCGCAUAUACAACACUGAAGCACAAAUGCAACAGGACAGUGAAGGUGGGUUUCUAGCUGCAGUCCAGUGCUCUCUGCCACAAGAAUGAACCUUGAGCAAAAGACUAACAUCAAGUUCUUAGCUAACUUGGGAAAAACUCCAGCAGAAAUCUUUGCCAUGCGGUGGGAAUGUGGAAGAUUUGCAAAAAGUUGGUGUCCAAACUGCUCUCCAAGGACCAGAAGAUUCACCAUGUGGAUGUGUCCAAGGUUGUUUUGGAGCUGCUCGACGGCAACCCAGGGUUUCUGGACAACAUCAUCACUGGGGAUGAGACCAGGGUCUUCAGGUACCACACCGAGAGGACGACGUUACCCAGAUCAAAGACAGCCUGCAUGUCCACAUCAUCCAACAAGAUGGUCCUGACCUGCUCCCUAUUCAAUCCCAGUUGCUCAGCCAUGUUUCUGAUCAUUAGUCCGAGAUCACUCCACACCAGUUUCUUGACCUUCUGCAUGUUGUCAUCUGUUCUCAUUGUUGAGGGGCAUCUGGUUUUGGGUCAUCCUCCAUGUCAACCUGCUUCAUUCUGAACCUCCUUGUCACUAAUAGACUGUCUUCUCCCCACACACAUCCUUCAGUGUUUCAAGGCUUGCAAGCCAAAAACCUGAUGUCAGUCCUUUGCUCCAGAUUCAUUCUGUGACUGCAACCAGAAACCAACAUGCAGUUGAGAUGGCGGGCAAAAGUCUAAUGUUCUUCAUUACUGUUUGGAUGCUGGAUCCUGUGAUCAGCAACCAAUGUGUUUUUUUGUUACCUCAUGGGAAGAAAAGAGGAAGUCUGCAAUGGAGGAGGUAAUUUCUGAUAAUAGCAUCACUGCAGGUGCAAGACUCCUAUUAUACUUGGACAUAUUUUAAUUAUCCAGUAAAAGAUCUAGCCUUUGAGCUGCUCUAAUUCAAGCAAUACAGUGUGUCAUAUACUCACUCCGACAAUGUUCUGUAGUUUAGAGGACAACUCAGUGUUCAGAACAGCAGCAGGAUCAACUUGAUGUCCCUCAGCUAAAGCAUUAUCACCAUAUGAGCUUCUAAUGUACUGUACUGUACAGAAAUAUCAUGCUGUCUGCCUCACAGCAGGGCACCCAGCUGCUGGUCUUUAUUACAUGAACCCUUUUAUCAUUCAGCCUGAUGAUUGCUUUGCUCUUGUGAAAUCAGCAUGUUAUCUAGUACACACGUAUAUAUUUGAAAUUUGCACAGAAAUGUUUGUUUACAGCAACAACACAACAAGACAGGCUUGUCUGAAGUUGUGCAACUCCCUGUUUAAAGAAUGUGUAUUUUUCCUCAGACAGCAUGGGUUUGAUGACUGUCCUGUAUCCAAAUGUGUUGGCUGAUCCUUUGACUGAUUUCCAUGCUCUGCCGUUAGAGCUGCAAAACUCUGCACAACUAGUUGUAACUGUUUGCUUGACUGAAUCUUGGCCUUUAGGCACUUUUAGCUUAGUGCGUCAGUUCUUUAAAUUCUCUGUAAAACCAGUUUCUUUCAGCAGGAACCUUACUUGAACUUUCCACUCCAGCAUGUGCUUAUCUUUCAGUGCUCCCAACAGCAUACUGGUCCCACUCUGCACAUGUUUCCUUACAGGUUAAUACUCAGUCCUCAUUAUUUCACUGCAUGUUCUUACUCUGGUGUGUUUUUAUUGGCUGGGGAACAAGAGGCCUUGAUGCAUUCUCUGUUUUCCUGUACACACGUGUUGAAAAAGAUUCGGUGAAAAGUGGGUGUUUUGAGCAUGAGUGCCACUUAAAUGUGAUCAUCCCUAAUGAGCAUCCAAUUAAAUGUGCUCACGCCGUGUUUAAUCUUGGUUGUACUCAAGUGCUGAUGGUUUUAUUCUGACUGUAGUGACAUGAUGGCCUAUCACAAAACUGGGAAAACACCUGUUAUCAAAAAUGUGACUUUCAUACAUUGUGUCUACCAACUGAGCUAUGUUGUAUGAUUCAAUAUUGGAAAAAUGUAACUUCAGGGGCCACUUGAUGUCAUUGCUGAUUUUAAUGGUUGUGUUUUUUCCCACAUAAGCUGAGUUUGGGAUUCAUUUGUCAUUUGCAGUUACCCAAAUUAUGUUGAAAUACAAAGACCAGCAGAAGUAUUAGUGCCUGAUUGUUCUCUCCAGGUUUAAGUGCUGUUGAAUUAGCCUACGUUGUCCUGCAG